rnacentral:rRNA from 1 species
CAGUUGGGAAUCUUGGACAAUGGGGGAAACCCUGAUCCAGCCAUGCCGCGUGAGUGAUGAAGGCCUUCGGGUUGUAAAACUCUUUCGACGGGGACGAUAAUGACGGUACCCGUAGAAGAAGCUCCGGCUAACUUCGUGCCAGCAGCCGCGGUAAUACGAAGGGGGCUAGCGUUGUUCGGAAUUACUGGGCGUAAAGCGCGCGCAGGCGGCUAUCCAAGUCAGUGGUGAAAGCCCGGAGCUCAACUCCGGAACUGCCAUUGAAACUGUUUAGCUUGAGGACGAGAGAGGUGAGUGGAAUUCCCAGUGUAGAGGUGAAAUUCGUAGAUAUUGGGAAGAACACCGGUGGCGAAGGCGGCUCACUGGCUCGUUUCUGACGCUCAGGCGCGAUAGCGUGGGGAUCAAACAGGAUUAGA